GGGGAAGCAGCGGUCCCUGUGCCGCGCCCCCGACCAGCGGCUGCUGUCCCUGCGCUCCGAGACCAGGACGUGGAGGGAGACACCUUGGAAGCGCGGCUGUGCUACUGCGGCACCAAAUUCCUCCUUAUUCGGUUGUGUUCAAAUCCAGCGGGCGGGUAGUUAGUAAGCGGCCGGCGGCAGUGGGGUCUGCACCCGAAGUAAGAUGCCAAGACCUGGAAGCAAGCUUUAUGGGCCAGCUAGCCCCGCCUAUGCUGCAGCAAACAGCAAAAGGAAGACCGUGUCUUGAGGGAGAAGGCCAGGAGGUUGGUGUCUUCAAGCGCCCAUGGCUGUUGAAACAACUCCACAAAGGACAAACACAAGGGAAGAAUGGCAAUUUGAAUGCAAUUGGCUACUAUAAUCCCAUAGGAAGUGAUGCUAUUAGGAGGUGUGGCUUUGUUGGAGGAAGUGUGUCACUGUAGGGGUGGGCU